AUAGCACCGCUUCUAACCGUCUGUUAACUCGGACAA
rnacentral:rRNA from 1 species